AUCAUCCUUUUUUUCCUCUUGUGUGUGAAUGUAUUUAAAUGCACGUGUCUUUGGGGGUGAGGGGAGAAAAGAAGGGUGGUAGCUGGUGUCUAAAUCUUGUAAAAUGGUUUUCCUAAUAUGGGCUGUCUCUCCUGAGACUCCUCCUCUUCCCUAUAAGUGGGCAGGACUCUAUCCUCUUAUUCAGCCAGUGAUGACACAGCUACGACUCACUUCCCCAUUAAUUGGCUGAAACCAGUUCUUACAGGAACUGUCGGUGAUAAAUGUGAGAGUUCUCAGAAAUCAUUCAUUUCUUCCUUCUUCACAGCUAAGGGACACUCCAGGGCAGUGUGGAUGUUUCUUUGUGUUAUCAUUUCUUAAGGACCUCAAUUUUUAGAUCAUUUAUAUGUAUUUUUGUGAUUCUCUCUUGUUAUUAUUUUUCUUCAUUGUUUUGUUGUUUUGUUUGUUUGUUUUGUUUUUUUAAAUCUGGUAACAGUGUUCUAUCUGGGGUAAAGGUUUUAUAUUGCUUAGCCCUCCUUCUGGGAGAAGUAGAGAUAGAAGAAGGUAACCUUUAGCGUGGGUGAGUAAAAUUGGUGACCUACUUCCCCCCUUUCUUGUCUUCUUAAGCUCUGUUACGCAGUUUGUUGCCUCUCUCCAGAAGACGAACCUUGAGGUGUUGGAGCAACACCGGUAGUGAGUAUCACAACUUUUUUUCUCUAUCUGUUCUACCUUUCUUCUUCUAUCACUGUUUGCUAAUGCAUUGUACAUGCAUAAUUAAUUAGCUAAUUGUAGUGUUGCGUUGGGUUGGUGCUGUCAUUCAUGGUGGAAGAGUGUGGUGUGGCAGAGUUCAUUGUGUGUCUAGGGUUAAAAUGGAGUGGUGACUGUGGCCUGUUCAGGGUCUGGCUCCUGAGGGAUGCUGAGUCAUGCUCAGCAGGUGGAGCUGCUAUGACUGAAGUGUACACUCCCCCACGUCACUCACAACCCCCACCCUCCAUCCCCCUUCCCCUUAGCAAGCGAACCCUGUUGAACUCGAUGCAGGCUGAUCGAGACAGGAGGGGCCCCCAGGGGCUGAGAGGGUGGGGGAAUUCUACUCCCAAUUCCUGCCACUAACAAUCUCUCACAACUCUGUAGAAGCUGUGGAAACAAAGGCAUUACACCUUUUACCUCACUGCUCAUCUAGGAUGAAAAUUCGCUCUCCUGGGUGUUUCAGAAGGUGGUGACCAUCUUGUGUGUGUGUGUGUGUGUGAAUGAGUGGCAGAGAAAUAUUCAGGGGGUAAAAUUAAAAACUUUGUGUGGGUGUAGUUGUGUGUCAAAAGAGUGAGAACGAAAUUUUCACCAGGCUGUUUCACUCACAUACUACCUGAGCCUGUCUGUAUUUCUCAAAUUUAAAAAAAAAAAAAGAAUUUUUGAGUCUCUUUGUUCUCCUUUGUACCUGUGAAAAGUAAUUGGCUUCUUACAGAGUUUAAUAUAGUAAAUGGGGCUGGAGAGAUGUAAGGUUGCAGCAUUGUGUUUUGGCAGAACAGCUUUAUUUAAAAGUGCAGGAACUUAUUGACCAUUGAGGCCUUCAGAUUAUGACAUCUAGAUAUAUUUUAUUCAAAAUAAAUCAUACAUAUAUCUCAAUAAAUAAGUCAUCAUUUACAUUUGGGUUAUGAAAUAGUGUUGGUGCUGAACACUGAAACUGUAAUAAAUAUCAGUGAAUCAUACUGUAGUUUCCAGUAGUUACUGUUUAAUUUCCAUAAACUGAGAAACAAUUUAUUAGUCAGACCAGGGCUUCACAAUCCUGGUAAUAUGUGCAAUCAUAUGAACAUGAAUUUUUCAGAGAUUGUGGAUGAGUGGAAGGAGGUUCACUAUUCUUGAGGAGUUUUUGUGUAUGUUUUAUCUGACUGAGAUCACAACUGUGCUUAUAUUGGCAGCAGAAUACUGACUGUUGUUGGGCUGUCACUCUUUAUAUUAAUGAGACUGGCUGAUAGUAUGUCUGACAUUGUGACUACUGUUUUGUGAUAUUGAGGGUUUCAAAUUUAAGUGUAUGUUGUAUAUCUUACGGAGAUCUUCUCUAAAAUACUCCUUGAUCAGAACCGUGCUUAUAUUGGAAGCAGAAUACUGAUUAUUGAUGGGCUCUCACUGCUUAUGUUAAUGAGACUGGCUAAUAAUUUAUCUGAUAUUCUGACUACUUUUUUAUGUUUUUCUUUAGGUAAUGCAAUUCAUUCAGAAUUUUCUAAACAAUGUUAAAGAUUUUUGUGUUCUUUUAUGCCUGGUCUUGGCACUCAUAAUAAGGUAUUAUGGGUGCCAAGACCCAAUAUUAAUUAAUGCAAUAUGAUGAUGUAAUUUAUUUUUUGUUCCUUGAUUAUACAAAAGAUUCUUUGCCUCUUUUUUCAUUUUGUAAUUUUUUUAGAACUGCUUGUGAAAUGUUUUCUCCCUCAUCUGUGCUUUUUUGUAACACUGCCCUGGUAUGCUAGCCUGGAAGCUUCAGGCAUAUAAAAAAAAAAUGGAACAGUGUGGGGUUUCUUUGCUGUUACCUUAGCUGAACCCUGGGCUGAACUCAGUGCACUGUACUGCUGGCAGGAAGGAUAUGAAGAAGAGAGAGAAAGGGGGAUACAAGCAAGAGGCUAAGCAUGUUCAGCUAGCAGACAUGCUCGUCAGUGAAUGGGAAGCACAUUUUGAACUGCUAUAACAGGACAUAUUUGGUUACAAAAUAACAGAAUAUGGCCUCCAACAACCACCUCCUACCAUUCCUCUUUGUCUAUGGUAAGCGUUCUUUUCUUUCCUUUCCAUUUUAUUCUUCAUGUGUGGAUCAGGCAUUUCCAUCCAUCUCUCCCAGUGUGUCAGAUAGCUUAUCAGACUGGUGUUGGCUGUUUUAAUGCAUGGCGACAACAGUCUGUAGGCUGUCUGACAUUUUGGGCUUUUUCAUCCAAAAAUACACCUCAUUUGUUAUCUUCAAGUUUGUUUUAUUGUUAUUUCUUGUCUUGCUUUUAAAUAGUUUGCCAUGGUUCAGUGAUUUGAGCUAAACUUUUCCCUUUAAACUAUCGGAUGAGGUAGUACAGUUUUAUAAAUGUGUUUGUAAAUAACCAGUACAUGUAAUUCUCUACAUUUCUGUUCAUACAUUUAUGUACUAUACUUUUCCCUUUUGAAGUGAGAGAGAGAGAGAGAGAGAGAGAGAGAGAGAGAGUGAGAGAGUGUGUGUGUGUGUGUGUGUGUGUGUGCUUGUGUGUGUCUGGAGCUUUCCUUCAACUACCUAUGUUUUUUACAAAUCCAAAACACACUUUAUUGCAACAUACAAUGUUAUGACAGUUUUGCUGUUUGGACUGCUUAUCCCUCCCCUCUCUGUUUAUUGCUUUUAUGGAUCAGUGUUAAUUUGUCUCUGGGUCUGCAAUAAUUUCUUCAUUCUUUUUUUGCUUAAAGUGACUACACUGGCAUAGAUGUCCCUCUGAGGGAAUGCUUAUAGUAUGUCCCUCUGAGGGAACCCUUUACACCCUUUUAGGAGUCUAAGAUCCCUUAAAGAAUGCCUGAAGAACCUAAGAGUGCACCUUUUUUCCUUUUUAAUCUCAGAUUUGUGAUGAAGAGAACUUUUUUGAAUUGCUUCCUAGUUCUGAACAUUCUAUUUUUUAUUUCUUGGUAAAUUUUGUUUUUUGUAUGCCUAUUUGUAUGAUUAUAUAAGUGUAUAUUAACAAAAAUAAACAAGGUUGCAUUAA